rnacentral:snRNA from 1 species
UACGCUUCUCAGCCUAUGUGGCUAAGAUCAAAGCGUAGUGUCUGUUCUUAUCAGUUUAAUUUCUUUUGAUAGAUACUUGUAACACCUGCUCUGAAGAUGGAUUCUUCUGCUGCCAUUUUUGAAAAAAUUGAUGCUGCUUUGAAAAUAUAUUCCAGUGCUGCUACUUUGGAAGAAAAUUCUCUCUGCUCCUGAGACAACUGCACUCUCAGCAGCAGCAGUUGCU